UGACUCACUUAGUUAACUAGGUAACUUAUUGGAAGGUAAAGAUAGUAAAAGAUAGGAGAGUAGAGAGGUAAAUGCUGUCACAGUACCCCCUGCUUGAGAUCAUCCUUGUCCUCAAGGAUGGAAAUGAGGAUACUGAGCAAUGAAGUCCUUGUAGAACUCUCAUGUUGCGUCUUCAGGACGUUCCCCUUUCCACUGGACCAAGACUUUAGUGACAGCUAAGUUGCGACGUUUUGCCAUCUUUGUUUCCAAAAUCAUCUCAGGUUCCUUGGAAGUUCCCAAAUCAGACCAAAACUGUGGCACCGUUGGAGAUGAAGUAGGAGGGUUUGGACAAAGCUUUAGCUGGCUCACAUGAAACACAUUGUGUACUGCGGCCUCAGGGGGAAGUUCCAAGCGAUAAGCUGCAGAGCCUACUGUGUCGGUGACCUUAAAGGGGCCGUAGUAGCGUGGAGACAAUUUAUGCGGGAUUUUCCUGUUCUUGAGUGUGUUCUGUCGGUAGGGUUGGAGCUUGAGGUACACGUAGUUGCCAACCACAAACACCCUCUGUGAUCUGUGUGAAUCAGCGGCUUGCCUGUUCCUGUUUUGAGCGCGCAGUAAGUGAAACUUGAGCAUUGAGAUUACCUCUUCCCUCUUGCGUAAGCUUCGGUCAACCAGUGUAGAAGAGCUUUCACCAGGUAGGUAAGGAAGGUGUAGAGGAGGAGGUUGACCGUAAACAAUCUCAAAAGGUGUGCUCUUGAUAGCAGAGUGAUAGGUUGUAUUGUACCACCAUUCUGCUAGGGUGAGCCACUUGCUCCAAGUCUUCGGUGCUUCAGCAGUCAUGCAUCGCAGGUAAGUCUCCAGUGUCUUGUUUGUGAUCUCAGUCUUCCCGUCAGUUUGAGGGUGAUAGGCAGUAGAGUAUCGCAAGUCUACACCGUGGACUCUGAAUAAUUCCUUCCAUACCUCACUUAAGAAAGUGGGGUCUCUGUCACUGACAAUGUCCUUUGGAAGGCCAUGUAGCUUGAAGAUGUUGUCUAAGUAGGCUUGCGCAACUUCAAUAGCAGUGUAGGGGUGAGAUAAAGCAAUGAAGUGUGCAUUCUUACUGAGCCUGUCGAUGACCACGAGAAUGCAAUGCUUCCCAGAAGAUGGAGGGAGUCCUUCAAUGAAGUCCAUGCUGAUUGAUUCCCAAACACCUUGCGGAACUGGUAGCGGAUGCAACAAACCAGGCUUUGCCACAUUCUCAUAUUUGUUUUUCUGACACACGCUGCAAUUCCUCACAUAAUUCUGAACUUCCAGAGACAUUUUCGGCCAAAAGAAGAGCGAUUUGAUUCUGUGGAGUGUAGCAUCUCUACCUGAGUGUCCUCCCACUGCAGAGUCGUGUAACCACUUGAAAAUGUGAGUUUUGAUCUCCACGUUGUUGCCAACUACUAGCUUUCCUUUUCUUCUCAAUUCAUCGUUAGCAUAUGUGUAUUGCGGAUGAGACAGCUUGUUGGUCUUCAAUUCCAUGAUCAGUUUGGAAAGGUGAGGGUCCGUCUGCCACAGAAGUUUCAGGGAGUCGAAGAACCCCUGAUGGGCUUGAGGUAAUGAAAUGUGGAGGAGUUGAGAACCCGAGACUCGAGAGAGAGCGUCUGCGGCCACAUUUUCUUUCCCAAGCUUGUACUGCACCUCGAAAUCAUAUCCCAUGAGCUUAGAAAGCCACAUAUGUUGGAAUGGAGUAGUAGCUUUCUGUUCCAUCAUAUAUUUGAGACUUUUUUGGUCUGUUUUGAUGAUGAAAGGGCGAUGUGCGAGAUAUGCACUCCAUGUCUGAACAGCAAAGACUACAGCCAUUAACUCCUUCUCGUAGACUGAAAGUGCUUGCUGUCGAGGACCUAGAGCACGACUGAUGUAGCAGAUUGGGUGACCUUCUUGCAUAAGUACUGCACCAAUUCCCGUGUUGCAAGCAUCCGUUUCUACAACAAAGGUUUUGUUGAAAUCCGGUAGAGCAAGAACAAGAGCAGAGCUGAGAGCAUCCUUAAGGUUGUCAAGUGCAGUAUCAGCUUCAGGACUCCAAAUGAAACCGCCUUUCUGCAGCAGUGUAGUGAGAGGGCGAGACAGUAUAUUGUAUCCUCUGAUAAAGCGUCUGUAGUAGUUAGCUAGUCCAAGAAAGCUCCUCAAUUGCUUUAUAGAAUUAGGGGUUGGCCAGCGUUUGAUAGCGUCCACCUUAGCUGGAUCAGUGUUUACUCCUUUUGCCUCAAUGAAGUGCCCCAAGUACUCAAUCUUUGUGGCUCCAAAUGUGCAUUUCGAAGCUUUAAGAUAGAGCUGCUGUUGGCGUAGGAUGGAGAACACUUCUUGAAGGUGAAUCAUAUGAGUUUCCCAAUCUGGACUGUAAACCAAGAUGUCGUCAAAGAACACUAGGAGGAAUUUCCUUGAAAUGUCUUUGAAAACAUGGUUCAUGAGGCUCUGAAAAGUACAAGGUGCGUUGGAGAGGCCAAAGGGCAUAACCAGGUACUCAUAGUGGCCUGCGUGGGACUUGAAAGCAGUCUUAUACACAUCAUUAGGAGACAUCCUCAACUGAUGAAACCCGGCGCGGAGGUCAAGCUUAGAGAAGUAGACUGCUCCACCUAAUUCAUCAAGAAGGUCUUCUAGCAGAGGUAUUGGAUAUUUAUCCUUAACUGUUUGGGUGUUAAGGCCUCUGUAGUCAACACAGAGACGCCAGCCGCCGUCCUUUUUCUUCACGAGCACAAUAGGUGAUGCAUACGGACUGUUGCUGCACUGGAUGAUUCCCUGUUGGAGCAUGUCUUUCAAUAGUUCAUCAAUAGCAUCUUUCUGUAAGGAGGAGUACCUGUAGGGUCUAUGGUUCACGGGAUUCGCAUCAGCUUUCAACGGGAUCGUAUGGUCAAAGCCUUCUCUGAAUGGAGGGAGAUUCGUAGGUUCCUCGAACAGUUCAGAGUAUGAGGAUAUAAGUGACUGCAGGAGUGGAUCGUCAGAUAGCUCGCUCUUGGGCGCUGAGAUGUGGGAAAAGAGAGACUCUGGAACAAGUGGAGAGGUAGUUUCAGAGGUAUCUACUUCCCGGAUCUGUAGCAAGGCAAUCUGUGGUUGUUGUAGCAUCAGGUUGUUGAGGCUUGCUCCUUUGAUCAGUUUGCAACCUGAUUUAGUUACUCCGCGCAGCACAUGCUUGAGACCGUUGAGGUUGAACUCCAUUAUUAAAUUCAGGAAAUCCCAUAAGAUUGGUCCGAGUGUUGAUAGCCACUGAACACCCAAUACAAGUUCACAACAGUCGAGUGGGAGUGUCCUUAUUUCAGUGGUGAAAGAAUACCCUUGCACUGACCAAGUGAAAUUGUUGCAUUUGUACUUCGUAAUCAUGUUGUUACCGUUGGCUGCGGCGACAGACAUGGGGUUGGAGGCGUCGAGUUUGCACCCAAGUUCGUGAGCAACUUUGAUAUCCAAGAAUUUAUGUGUGCUUCCCGGAUCCACCGGUAUGUAAAGCUUUCGCUUUCCAUACUUCCCAAUAACUCUCAUGCAGUUAAAUGUGGUGGAGCCACUGAGAGCAUUGACAGAUAUAACUGGAGUGGGCUCAGCUUGAGCUUCCUCAUCAGUGAGAUCAGUGAUUUUCUCAUUCUCGAGCAAGGGGUCCUCAUCGUCAUCCUCAUCUUCGCAUUCCAUGACAAAAAUCUGAGAUCUUUUGUGUUUUAGUUGAUGCCCCGGUGUGAAAGCUUCAUCACAAAACAUACAGAGUCCCUUGGCUCUGCGAUCUUGCAUCUCCUGGUAAGAGAACUUGCGAGCAGGUCUAUCAGUGUUGCUCUUGGGGAUGAAAGUAGGUUUAGUGGUAUGCUUUGGUAGCUCAGGAGCAGGUAACAGUGGUGUUUGUUGUUUGUACGGAGCACCAUAGUUUUUCUGCUGUUGAGAAGGAUUGAAGGGAGCCCUGUAAGAGCGCUGAGGAGUAGCAGCCAAAGAAGACUCGUGUAGGCUAGCUAUUCUUGCAGCAUCAGAUAGAGAUGUAGAGCCAAACUGACGAACAUGGAGUGACAGGUGGGGGUUCAUGUUUGUCAGAAAGAUGCUUAAGGCAUGAGCUUCUGGUAAGGAAAGUCGGGUUCUUGCGUUCUCGAACUUCUCCAGAUACUCGGGAACAGAGUCAGUGCCUUGUUUCAACGCGACGAGAUCCGCCAGAGGGUCAUCGAAGAGGCCGUUGAAUCUACCUGAGAGCGCGAUGAUGUAGUUUGUCCAAGAUGGAAAGAUCCCAAACUGCUCAGCUAAGUAGUUCCUGUGCCAUUGAAGGGCCUUGCCGAUCAUAUGCAUAGCAGCAAGUCGGACUUUCAACUCGGGGGCUGUGUUAUCAAUGUCGAAGAACUGCUCGCAACGACAGAUCCAGUCACAAAACUCCGUACCAUCAAAGGCUGGGAAGGUCAGCUAUGUCAGCCUGUUGGAGAGAGUAUUCUGAGGUGGGGUUGAACGGUCGCCGGGUGUGUACUGACGGAAUCGCUGGAGAUUUGGGGGAUCUGGGGGUCGGGUUGACUCCGCUGAGGUCGGAUCCAUCAUCUGAGACCCACCAGUGUCGUUGAACUGUUGUUUCCCUUGCGCCUGGAUUUGAGAAACGUGUUCAAAGACGAGUCUUUCAAGUUUGUUGUAGCGUUCGUCGAGUGAGUCAAUACGUUGACGGAACUCGUUUGUCUGGUUUUCUUGACCUGCGCGGAUCUACUCGACCAGCUCGAGCAUCGUCUUCUCUUGGUUACGUGUUUCCACCAUAGCUAGAUCCCUGAGGUUCGAGAUGGCUCUGAUACCAAAAUGAGACAGUAAAAGAGUAUGUGAGAUAAAUCUCUCUGUAAACCUUCCGUAGAUUUAAAGAGAAAUGAAAUCAAGGACUGAAAGGUGAUCUAAGCUUUAGAAAUGUCACCUCUAAGUGCAAUGAUCUGAGCAAUAACGGCAACAAUGGCGUAUGCUUACGAAAGAGAGAGAGAAAGGAGGAAGAUAAGAUAAUACUGACUCAUUACUUUUAGCUAAAUGCCAAUGUAGUACAUAUAAAGGAAAUAUUCCUAACGGUCAACAAGCGACCUGUAACCGGGAUGCAACCCGUGAGUCACAUAGUUAACUAGGUAACUUAUUGGAAGGUAAAGAUAGUAAAAGAUAGGAGAGUAGAGAGGUAAAUGCUGUCACAUCACUGUUAUCCCUUUCUAACUUAACAGCUAUAGCAGUCCUCUGCCUUUUCAAGGAGCUACUAAUAACUCCAUCAGAUUUAACUUCCACAUUCUUGAUACAAAGGGUGUUUUCUUGGAACCUCGAGCAUUGUCUCCAAACUUUUUCGACUGUCCAACAACUGAAGGAUAACUUCCACAUUCUAUCAAUUCGCUGCUCUCAUCUGAGUAUGACACUGAACUGUUCACAGAUUCAAGAUUAUCUUCAGCAACUUCUUCCACAUCAGACCUAUCAAUCAUGUUCCUUAAUUCAUCAUCCCAUCCACGAGUGUUUCGGAGACCUUACACUGGAUUUAGAAUCACGGCUCAGUUCACUGGGAGAUUCUACCACUUGUGUCUCAUCUACUUCUCUGUCUGAAUCAUCCAAUGAAUCAACAAAAGUAUCUUCUUCAACAUUAGAAACUGCUUCUAAAACAAAAAACAAAAAAAAAAAACGGAAGCUCAUCAUAGACUGUAUUUUUUUUUUUUGAUCAAACAUCAUAAACCAAAAAAAGAAAAACAGAGAGAAAUCCACAACCUGAUAUUUUUAUUUGCUUUACAACCUUUCCAAAUGA
rnacentral:lncRNA from 1 species